UACGGAGGGUGCAAGCGUUAUCCGGAUUCACUGGGUUUAAAGGGUGCGUAGGAGGGCAGGUAAGUCAGUGGUGAAAUCUCCAAGCUUAACUUGGAAACUGCCGUUGAUACUAUCUGUCUUGAAUACCGUGGAGGUGAGCGGAAUAUGUCAUGUAGCGGUGAAAUGCUUAGAUAUGACAUAGAACACCAAUUGCGAAGGCAGCUCGCUACACGAAUAUUGACUCUGAGGCACGGAAGCGUGGGGAUCAAACAGG
rnacentral:rRNA from 1 species